GUAGCACAACUAGCAUCAAUAAAGGAUAUGAAGUAGCUCUGGACAGCAAGAUAUAAGUGAAGAUCACAAUAGCAGUAGACCUAUUUAGAAGCUGCUGUUGAGGUGCCAAAUACUGAACUAGCUUCUGUAACUAUUUAGAUGCGGCUCGUCGCUAGCUUUCAUUUGAGUACUCGCGGAGCCAAAACAGACUUCAUAUGAGGAAGUUAUGCCUGUUUUACUGAACAGUGCACAAAACAGAUUCCAAUCCGAAUUCAACUACGAGAUUGAGUCUAAAUAGAUCCGAAUUUUGUUUUUUUUUUCUCCUCUCUUUUUUUUCUCACACUUUUUUUCUUUUCCUUUCUUUUUUUUCUGACUUUUUUUUACUUUUUUUUCUCUUGUUUUUUUCUCUAUCUUUUUUUUCUCUCUCCCUCUUUCCAAAACAAACUAGAUAAGAUGUAGAUUGGAUCAAGCGAAGAUGGGAACGAUCUCAACUAUGAUUAUGACAAUGAACGGUGGAAAUUAAUAGAUGGGAUGGUGGACAGCGGAACGGAUAAUGAUGCAGCGGCGGCGUGACUAAUGUGAACAGAACUCGAAACUCUAAAGAAACUAGACACUAAGACCAGCAACUGACACGACGAUGCAACCGAUAAUUCAACUAUGCAAGCAAUGAAUAGAAAAUUGCAAAGGCUCAGACUGGCUUGGAUAAAGGAUGAACAGAUCUAACUUUUUUUU
rnacentral:lncRNA from 1 species